rnacentral:rRNA from 1 species
GGUCAAGCGAAUAAGCGCACACGGUGGAUGCCUUGGCGGUCAGAGGCGAUGAAGGACGUGGCAGCCUGCGAAAAGUAUCGGGGAGCUGGCAACAAGCUUUGAUCCGGUAAUGUCCGAAUGGGGAAACCCACCCGCUUGCGGGUAUCCUGCAGUGAAUACAUAGCUGCUGGAAGCGAACCUGGUGAACUGAAAUAUCUAAGUAACCAGAGGAAAAGAAAUCAACCGAGAUUCCGUAAGUAGCGACGAGCGAACGCGGACUAGCCCUUAAGCUGAUUUGGUUCUAGGAAAACGCUCUGGAAAGAGCGGCCAUAGAAGGUGAUAGCCCUGUAUCUGAAAGGGCCAUUUCAGUGAAGACGAGUAGGGCGGGGCACGUGAAACCCUGUCUGAACAUGGGGGGACCAUCCUCCAAGGCUAAAUACUACUGACCGACCGAUAGUGAACCAGUACCGUGAGGGAAAGGCGAAAAGAACCCCGGAGAGGGGAGUGAAAUAGAACCUGAAACCGUGUGCGUACAAGCAGUAGGAGCUCCGCAAGGAGUGACUGCGUACCUUUUGUAUAAUGGGUCAGCGACUUACUGUUCGUGGCAAGCUUAACCGUAUAGGGGAGGCGAAGGGAAACCGAGUCUGAUAAGGGCGCAUAGUCGCGGGCAGUAGACCCGAAACCGGGUGAUCUAGUCAUGCCCAGGGUGAAGGUGCGGUAACACGCACUGGAGGCCCGAACCCACUCCCGUUGCAAAGGUAGGGGAUGAGGUGUGAUUAGGAGUGAAAAGCUAAUCGAACCCGGAGAUAGCUGGUUCUCCUCGAAAGCUAUUUAGGUAGCGCCUCAUAUGUAUCCUCUCGGGGGUAGAGCACUGUUAUGGCUAGGGGGUCAUCGCGACUUACCAAACCAUUGCAAACUCCGAAUACCGAGACGGACUGUAUGGGAGACACACGGCGGGUGCUAACGUCCGUCGUGAAAAGGGAAACAACCCAGACCCACAGCUAAGGUCCCAAAUUUUGUGCUAAGUGGAAAACCAUGUGGAAAGGCACAGACAGCCAGGAGGUUGGCUUAGAAGCAGCCACCCUUUAAAGAAAGCGUAAUAGCUCACUGGUCGAGUCGGUCUGCGGGGAAGAUUUAACGGGGCUAAGCACAGAACCGAAGCUUGGGGUGCAUAACUUUGUUAUGCGCGGUAGAGGAGCGUUCCGUAAGCCGUUGAAGGUGGAUUGAGAAGUCUGCUGGAGGUAUCGGAAGUGCGAAUGCUGACAUGAGUAACGAUAAUGCGGGUGAAAAACCCGCACGCCGAAAGCCCAAGGUUUCCUUGCGCAACGUUAAUCGGCGCAGGGUGAGUCGGCCCCUAAGGCGAGGACGAAAGUCGUAGUCGAUGGGAAGCAGGUUAAUAUUCCUGCACCUCGCGUAAGUGCGAUGGAGGGACGGAGAAGGUUAGGUGUACCAGGCGUUGGUUGUCCUGGGGAAAGGCGGUAGGUUUGGAUCUUUGGCAAAUCCGGGAUCCUUUAAGACCGAGCACCGAGACGAGCCUUUAAGGCGAAGUCACUGAUACCACGCUUCCAGGAAAAGCUCCUAAGCUUCAGCUUACGCAGACCGUACCGUAAACCGACACAGGUGGGUAGGAUGAGAAUUCUCAGGCGCUUGAGAGAACUCGGGUGAAGGAACUAGGCAACAUGGCACCGUAACUUCGGGAGAAGGUGCACCCUUUUUGGUGGCUCGUGCGAGCUAUAGCUGAAGAGGGUCGCAGUAACCAGGCCGCUGCGACUGUUUAUCAAAAACACAGCACUCUGCAAACACGAAAGUGGACGUAUAGGGUGUGACGCCUGCCCGGUGCUGGAAGGUUAAUUGAUGGGGUCAGCCGCAAGGCGAAGCUCUUGAUCGAAGCCCCAGUAAACGGCGGCCGUAACUAUAACGGUCCUAAGGUAGCGAAAUUCCUUGUCGGGUAAGUUCCGACCUGCACGAAUGGCGUAACGACAGCGGCGCUGUCUCCACCCGAGACUCAGUGAAAUUGAAAUCGCUGUGAAGAUGCAGCGUUCCCGUGGCAAGACGGAAAGACCCCGUGAACCUUUACUAUAGCUUUACACUGAACGUUGAGUUCGUCUGUGUAGGAUAGGUGGGAGGCUAUGAAACCAUGGCGCUAGCUGUGGCGGAGCCAUCCUUGAAAUACCACCCUGUCGUGCUUGACGUUCUAACCUGGGCCCAUUAUCUGGGUCGGGGACCGUGUAUGGUGGGUAGUUUGACUGGGGCGGUCUCCUCCUAAAGAGUAACGGAGGAGCUCGAAGGUACGCUCAGCGCGGUCGGACAUCGCGCACUGUGUGCAAAGGCAUAAGCGUGCUUGACUGCAAGAUCGACGGAUCAAGCAGGUAGGAAACUAGGACUUAGUGAUCCGGUGGUUCUGUAUGGAAGGGCCAUCGCUCAACGGAUAAAAGGUACUCCGGGGAUAACAGGCUGAUACCGCCCAAGAGUUCAUAUCGACGGCGGUGUUUGGCACCUCGAUGUCGGCUCAUCACAUCCUGGGGCUGUAGUCGGUCCCAAGGGUAUGGCUGUUCGCCAUUUAAAGUGGUACGCGAGCUGGGUUCAGAACGUCGUGAGACAGUUCGGUCCCUAUCUGCCAUGGGCGUUGGAGAUUUGAGAGGGGCUGCUCCUAGUACGAGAGGACCGGAGUGGACGAACCUCUGGUGUUCCGGUUGUCACGCCAGUGGCAUUGCCGGGUAGCUAUGUUCGGAAGCGAUAACCGCUGAAAGCAUCUAAGCGGGAAGCGCGCCUCAAGAUGAGAUCUCCCGGGGCACAAGCCCCCUGAAGGAACCAUGUAGACUACGUGGUUGAUAGGUCAGGUGUGUAAGUACAGCAAUGUAUUGAGCUAACUGAUACUAAUGAUCCGAGAGGCUUGACCAU